rnacentral:rRNA from 1 species
CCUACGGGAGGCAGCAGUAGGGAAUAUUGGACAAUGGACGCAAGUCUGAUCCAGCCAUGCCGCGUGCAGGAUGACAGCCCUCUGGGUUGUAAACUGCUUUUAUAUGAGAAGAAACCCUCAGAUGCGUUUGAGGCUGACGGUAUCAUAUGAAUAAGGAUCGGCUAACUUCGUGCCAGCAGCCGCGGUAAGACGAAGGAUCCAAGCGUUGUCCGGAUUUACUGGGUUUAAAGGAUGCGUAGGCGGACACUUAAGCCAGUGGUGAAAUCCCAUAGCUCAACUAUGGAACUGCCAUUGGAACUGUGUGUCUUGAAUUCGGUUGAGGUAGAUGGAAUAUAACAUGUAGCGGUGAAAUGCUUAGAUAUGUUAUAGAACACCGAUUGCGAAGGCAGUCUACUAAGCCGACAUUGACGCUGAGGCAUGAAAGCGUGGGGAGCGAACAGGAUUAGAUACCCUGGUAGUCCACGCCCUAAACGUUGAUUACUCGCUGUUAGCGAUACACUGUUAGCGGCUAAGCGAAAGCGUUAAGUAAUCCACCUGGGAAGUACGACCGCAAGGUUGAAACUCAAAGGAAUUGACGG